UCAAACACUUCGUCCACCUUUGUACAUAUGCUUUUCGUUGUGUUGGUGACAAUUUACGGUCAUCAUAUACCGAUGUGUGUAUGUUUCGCACGUUGUGUUAUGCCGUCUCUUUCGCGCUUGUGAACGUAUGGAAAAUAUCUCCAAUGAUCACCCAUCCCACGCCCUCAUGCACGUAUAUGCAGAUCAACGAAAUGCAGCUAAGCAACCGAUCGGGGAAGAACCAUGGCCAAUAUAUUCCAAUCUACAUAGGCGUGACGCACAGAUAAGUGAACGCACUUUUGAAGUCGUACAAUUCACCUAUCUUGGGUCAAAGGACAGCAACGACAAUAGCAUAGAAGCUGAGUUGCGCGGAAGGAUGCUGGCUGCCAACCGGUCAUUCUAUAGCCUGAAAAAUGAAGCUGGAACUAUAUAGUACAUAUAUAGUACCGGCAAUCACUUAGCACCGGUACGCCUCUGAGACAUGGACACUGUCCAAAUCUGAAGAAACCCUCUUAGCCGCGUUCGAGAGGAAGAAACUCAGAAGGAUACUUGGCCCUUUAUAUGUGGAAGGACAAUGGAGGAGCCGCUAUAAUGACGAGCUAUACGAGAUGUACGGCGACCUCACUGUCGUGCAGCGUAUCAAGCUCGCCAGACGUCGGUGGGCUGGCCAUGUUGUAUGCAUGGAAACGGACGAUCCAGCCCGUAAAGUCUUUUUAGGCCGGAUGAGGUCUAAAAAGAGUCUCUGUUUCACAAGAACAGAGGAGGCGUGGUAGGCCCAAACUGAGGUGGCAAGAUGGCGUGGAGGCGUCCACCAUUAAGGCCGGGAUAACGGACUGGCAGACGAAGGCGCGAGACUGUGAGCGGUUUCGGACACUCCUGAGGCAUGCCAAGACCGCAAAGUGGUUGUAGCGCCGGAUAAGUAAGUAAGUAAGUGAGUAGCUAAAAG